GAUACAAACGACACUGCAUGCACGAACAACACUCAAAUGACGCCGACCGCCACCUCCGCACGAGACAG
rnacentral:ribozyme from 1 species